CUUUUAUGGAGAGUUUGAUCCUGGCUCAGGACGAACGCUGGCGGCGUGCCUAAUACAUGCAAGUCGAGCGCGGGAAGCGAGUGGAUCCUCAUCUGAGGUGA
rnacentral:rRNA from 1 species